rnacentral:rRNA from 1 species
UGCGUAGGGUGCGAGCGUUGUCCGGAAUUAUUGGGCGUAAAGAGCUUGUAGGCGGUUUGUCGCGUCUGCUGUGAAAUUUCGGGGCUCAACCCCGAACUUGCAGUGGGUACGGGCAGACUAGAGUGUGGUAGGGGAGACUGGAAUUCCUGGUGUAGCGGUGAAAUGCGCAGAUAUCAGGAGGAACACCGAUGGCGAAGGCAGGUCUCUGGGCCAUAACUGACGCUGAGAAGCGAAAGCAUGGGGAGCGAACAGG